rnacentral:piRNA from 1 species
UGCAAUCACCGUUCACUAGACUCGAC